GAUGAACGCUGGCGGCGUGCCUAAUACAUGCAAGUCGAGCGAACAGACGAGGAGCUUGCUCCUCUGACGUUAGCGGCGGACGGGUGAGUAACACGUGGAUAACCUACCUAUAAGACUGGGAUAACUUCGGGAAACCGGAGCUAAUACCGGAUAAUAUAUUGAACCGCAUGGUUCAAUAGUGAAAGACGGUUUUGCUGUCACUUAUAGAUGGAUCCGCGCCGCAUUAGCUAGUUGGUAAGGUAACGGCUUACCAAGGCAACGAUGCGUAGCCGACCUGAGAGGGUGAUCGGCCACACUGGAACUGAGACACGGUCCAGACUCCUACGGGAGGCAGCAGUAGGGAAUCUUCCGCAAUGGGCGAAAGCCUGACGGAGCAACGCCGCGUGAGUGAUGAAGGUCUUCGGAUCGUAAAACUCUGUUAUUAGGGAAGAACAAAUGUGUAAGUAACUAUGCACGUCUUGACGGUACCUAAUAAGAAAGCAACGGCUAACUACGUG
rnacentral:rRNA from 1 species